UAAAAUCUAUCGUGGACCUUUUC
rnacentral:siRNA from 1 species